UAGUUCCACGUAGUAUGCAGGAAAUACUCCCUCUUUUUCCCCUCUGAAAUAUCUCAUGAAUUUUGGUGUGCAUUUGCCAUGGUAAACUGAUUACCAAAAGACUUUCUUUAUAAGUAAAACAGUUAUUCUAUAUUUGCUUGGAGAAGUUUGCUUCAUAUCUCCAAGUGACGACCAACUCAGACACACAGGUGUUUGUAGCAAUUUUUAAGUCUUUGAUAUUCUAGAUCCCACCCUGUUGCAGCUCUGUUCACUACUUAACUCUUAAAUAGAUGGAAGGUGUUCAGAAAUAGUUACUUAGGUGAUUGGCUAUUGAUGAAUAGACUUUCAACAGUGAAACCAAUCACCUUUCACCCUCCAUUACAGCACGCCUGCCUGCUCUGGGCCACAUCUCCAGGAGUGCAGGGAGAGGUUCACACUGCUGGAUCGGAUCGCCUCUCUGGCUGUUUCUCCCAGUCACUAGGAGUACUCAGCUUGGCCCUUGGGUAGAUCUAAGGAAUGUAGAGGAGCAGGGGCUCUCUAUAAUGACAUCCCUGUAAUAGUGUCCUCCUCAAGCUAAGGACCAUGUCUCAUCUCAACACAUGAAGGCUAGGGAGCGUCAACAUGGGUAACAAGCAAGCGUGAUGUGGACAACUCCCAAAAGAACGUGAGGCAGGAAGAGCAUCUUUCAGAAGCAUUGUUUUUAUCCUGCCACUGAGGUUUAUUAGCUGUAAAACAUAGAGCAAGCUACUUGCUUCUCUGGAUUCUCGAUUCUUUACCUACAAAACCGUAUCAAUGAUAUCGGCAUUAUGCCAUUUCUCGGUGUCAAAUGAAUGUAUACCAUUAGGGCUUCAUGAAUGAGCCUGUGGAUGAAAAUAGGGCUUAAUUCAAAGUACGCAAAAUGUAUGGGCAUACUGCUGUGCCUGGAAGAGCUACAGGGGUACUUUAGCAAGAACACAGUAGAGGAUUUCUUUGGAUUUCAGGAUUUGGGGGGGGGGCUUUUUCCUAAUAAAGACAUUUGUGAUGUCAACGAACAAAAAGAAACCAAUGAGCUCUCUAUCUUAACAACUCUCUCUUGAAUGUGUUUUUCAGACAUGUUAAGCUAACAACAUGGCUGUCAUGACACACCCCCACACCCAAGUGACUUCCCAUCUCCCCACCACCUCCAUGCCCUUUUCUCCCCUAUAUUUUAAACCAAAUGACAAGGAUCUGGGCAAACUUUCCCUCCCUAAACAUUUGGGACAUUCCUGCCAAAGUCCCCCUUUCUACCAAGUGAUUUAGUGCUUUAGCCUUGCCGCAGACUCUCUUUACGUGUGUUUAGUCUCCCGUGCAGAACUUGGUCUCUCAUAUUUCAUCACGCUGGGGAGAGAGGACGGUUACCAGAGUUCAGGUGUGGGACAGGAAGAACAAUCCCUGCUCACUCGAGGUUUUGUCUUCUGGAAUUUUCCUAUUGUGUCUGGGACUCCACUAGUCUCAAGGCUAGUGUGUGAGGAACAACUUGUACACCUCACCCUGCUGUUUUCCUGGCAACAAACGCAUGGCCCUGUUCUUAAUGGGGUCUUUAGUUUUACAAGCUGGAGUACGGCAGGAGUAGAAGCGAGCAAGUGGUCCUGUGGGCACAUCAGGCUCUUUAGGACUUCCCCGGGGAAUUGGUUAGUGGUAAGCAUCUUCUUUGAUUGAAGCAAGAGCAGUUUCUUUUCUUUCAGAUUAAAGGGCCAAUAUGCAGAAGUGGCAGAGUCGCCGCUUUUGGUUAGCGGGCCUCAUCUUUAUGCCCGUUGCUAAGAAAAUGCCUUCAGAUGGUUGUCUUCAUUAUUUCAGAAAGUAUGAAAAGAUACUUUUUAUGUUGGUUUUCAUUCACAACAUUAAAGAAUAUAUAUAACCGUACAAAUCAUUUCCUGAAGUUUCUGUCCCUUCACUGAGGGUAUUAUGAUAACAUUCCCACCCCUCUGGCCAGGGUGGGGGGAGGGGAUGCAAUCCUCUUCUGUCUGCAACUUUGGACCCCCGUUGCUAUCUUGACCACCAGUGUUCUCUCUAAAUAGUUAUAGGUUGACUGUCAUGGGCAGAAGCAUCAGAGAAGACAUCUGAGAAGGACUGCAGGAUAGGAGGCAAAGGAAAAGAAAGCCUCCUCCGGGAGGAAGAAAAUCCUGCUGCCUGGUACCUCCCAGCCCAGAUAGCAACUACUGCACUCAUAGCCCUCCCCAAGCAGACAGAGAAAGAGCCAGAAGGCUGGCCCAGCACAGUGCUGUCAAGCCAGGCCAUCCUGAUAGAGCGCGACCCUCCUCGAGGAGCUGUCAUUGCAAUUGCAGCCAAAUAAAGAUAUUUUGGCGCAGGAAUCGAUCUGAGAGUGAAAAUGGAGAGGAACACUCCCGCUGAGAACAGAGUAGUCCACCUGUAACUGGCUGAAGCUCUGAGCGGUGCCAUCUCAGUAAAUGGAUACUUAGCCCUGGGUUGCAAGGAUAAGAGGUCAAGUUCAUGCAGUAAAUAAAAAGCCAGUCAGCCUCCUCAUCUGUGAGAGCUGAUGCUGGUUGUCACAGAGCAACACAUUUACCAAACUUAGUGACAUAUGGUCUAAUUUGAGUCCCCAAUCUGUUCUACUUGCUAGUCACUAAAACCUUAGACUUUAGGUGCUAUUAAGUAAGUACUUAUGAAAAUUAUAAAUGAUAUAACUAGAAUAUUAUUGGAAUUACAAGUUGAAAGUAAUAACUUUAAUCCCUCCUUCAAUACCUAUGCAUCGACAUUUUUAGGCAAACCUAACCAGUUACUUAACAAUCAUAAAUACUUUUUCCAAUACUUACCCUAAAUAUGUUUGUAUAAAUGUGGGCACUGAUGUCUGUCAUUGAAAUACAUUAUUGGGCCUGGAGAGAUGACUCGGCAGUUGAGCGCAUUGGCAGCUCUUUCAAAGGGCCAGGUUCAAGUCCCAGAAGCUCACACUGUCUGCAACUCUGGCUCCAGGGAAGUGAACACCCUUACACGGACAUGCAUGCAACUACAC
rnacentral:lncRNA from 1 species